AUUAGAUCCCAGUGAAUUUACCACCUCUCUCUCUCCCUCCUGCAGCAGUAUAGUUCUCACUUUGCCUCUUACUGUGAGAUAUUUGGUGAUUCAACACCGUACUUUGUUCCCUUGCACACACCCUUACAGCCCAUGUUGUCCCUUCCUCUACUUUACACACACCUGAUGUCUUCAGUUGGGUUCCAUGGGGACUGGAUUCUGAGAUGGAAGAUUGAAGGUAGGAAUUACAUUGGGAAAAGAAAACUGUAGGCAUGUGAUGGUGGCACAAUUGUACACAGACCAUCUGCUCAUCACCCAUCAUAACUGGGAAAAGAGAUACUGAAAGUUCUCUUAUGGUUUAGAUAUGUAGUAUCUACUAAAAUCUCAUUUGUGAGAAAAUGCAAGAAUGUUCUGAGAUGAAAUGAUUAGAUUAUGAGAAUUGUACCCUAAUUAAUGGCUUAGUCCAUGGAUAUGGAUUAACUGGGUGGUCACUGUAGGCAGGUAGGGUUUGGAUGGAGGAGGUAGUCACUGGGGGUUUGCUUUUGGGGAUUAUAUUUUGCCCUGGUGAGUUGAGGGGGGCUCUCUCUGUGCUUCCUGGUGCAGUGUCCUGAGUGGCUUUCCUCUGCCAUACACUGCCACCAUGAUAUCUUUGCCUCAGGCCCAGCACAAUGGAGUUGGUCAUCUGUGAACUGAGACCUUUGUAACUAUGAACCUCAAAUAAACUUUUCCAGCUCUACA
rnacentral:lncRNA from 1 species